UGCCAGCCGCCGCGGUAAUACAGAGGGUGCGAGCGUUAAUCGGAAUGACUGGGCGUAAAGGGUGUGUAGGCGGAAGUAUAAGAUAGAUGUGAAAGCCCUGGGCUUAACCUAGGAGUGCCAUCUAAGACUGUACAUCUAGAGUUGUGUAGAGGGGAGUGGAAUUUCCGGAGGAGCGGUGAAAUGCGUAGAUCUCGGAAGGAACACCGGUGGCGAAGGCGACCUCCUGGACUGAUAUUGACGCUGAGGUGCGAAAGCGUGGGGAGCAAACAGGAUUAGAUA
rnacentral:rRNA from 1 species